AGCGAACGCUGGCGGCAGGCCUAACACAUGCAAGUCGAGCGCCCCGCAAGGGGAGCGGCAGACGGGAGAGUAACACGUGGGAACGUACCCCUCGGUUCGGAACAACCCAGGGAAACUUGGGCUAAUGCCGGAUACGUCCGAAAGGAGAAAGAUUCAUCGCCGAGGGAUCGGCCCGCGUCUGAUUAGCUAGUUGGUGGGGUAACGGCCCACCAAGGCGACGAUCAGUAGCUGGUCUGAGAGGAUGAUCAGCCUCACUGGGACUGAGACACGGCCCAGACUCCUACGGGAGGCAGCAGUAGGGAAUAUUGGACAAUGGGCGCAAGCCUGAUCCAGCCAUGCCGCGUGGGUGAUGAAGGCCCUAGGGUUGUAAAGCCCUUUCGGCGGGGAAGAUAAUGACGGUACCCGCAGAAGAAGCCCCGGCUAACUUCGUGCCAGCCGCCGCAGUAAUAC
rnacentral:rRNA from 1 species